AUUCUACAUAAUACGCAGUAUUUAAAGAAGCAUAACAUCAAGAAUAAUCAAUGAUGUAAUAACGUUUCCAUCUCAAUACAGCUAAACAUUAAUAUUACCAAAAGACACUUGUAUAUUAAAAGGAAUUGUAAAGAUGAAAAGCCUGAUUCCUGUCAUUUUGACUGCCUCGGUAAUUCUAGCGUUAAAUGACGAUGAUUGCUGAAGAGUUAAAUAACGUUAUUACAAACUGUCCAUAGCUAAUACACGUGUUAUACGCGUCAGCUGUCGGUUUGUCCAUUCGACAGCAGCAAAUGGAAGAACAAUGAUGGAAAAGUUCGAAGAACAGAAAAUUUCACCGACGAUUAUGCUGUGAAAAGCGUGUACGUGUUAUCGAUUAUGUCAACUAACGUCCCUAAGGAUAUUAAUUAUAUCUGAUGGUUGACGAAACGCUACACAUACUUGAAUAAAUACGUACCAAACGAUAAGCAGUAUUUUAAACUUAUCUUUAACAAGAAAUCCGACCAAUCGUAGCACUGAGAAACUAAAAUAUUUGUCCGUGAGAUAAAAAUACUGAGAACAUCUGCAAAUGCACAGGCCUAUCAUUGGUUAAAGAUCGAUUAUCGGUAGGUGCACUAGAACCAGGGAGUCGAAUGUUUCUUUAGGACAACUACCUGCUGCAGAUAUAUGGAAUUUCUUUUCCAGGAAAAAUUUCUAGAAGGGCCUGCUACUGGAUAAGGCUAAGGUUCUGCGAGCCGUUGAUUUACUGCCUCUAUGUUGGUCAAGAGGAUGUCCAAAUAGUUUUGGGGACAAAUAACAAUCUCCCGAACGUAGUUCUACAAACGAAAGUCACGUUUCAAAGGGAACAACUGUGACGUGAAUUUCGACCGCUACAUUUCUGUCGCAAUAGUUAACAGAUGUUUUAUGAAAAUCUUCUGUAUUACCCUCGAUAUGUAACGUUCGCUUUCCUUUGGCUACUUUUCAAGCACGCGGUUUACCACUUCGCUAUCUACUAUUUUAGUACCUACGUUUAAUAUUUAUCUGUAAGCUGAUUAGUCGUUUUUAGAAUGAAAUUAAUAUCGCGUCUAUUUCGUUUUCUUUAUGAUUGUUUUAAUAUCGAGACCAGGUUGGUACUUGAAGAAAUGCAAUUUUAUGUAACUAAUCGUUCCUGCAAAAAAAGAAAAAAACUCUUUAUCAGGAACUACCAGAGUGCUUCGAGAUUUUUUACCCUAGAAAGAUAAGAGAACAUUCAGGUCGUCGCCCGUAAUGGAUGUGUCCUAGAAUUAUUUUAUAUUUUCGAAUGCGUCGAGAACGGUAAAGAAAUGAAGCUCGAAUGCGAACGAUUCAAUUUUCCCGCGAAGUGUGAAAAAAUAUGUUUGUCUAACGAAGAGUUAAUAAUCGUAAUGACAAAAGCAAACGACGUCGAUUUUGGAUAACGGUGUGCACGAUCUUUUUUUCGAGAACAAACAGUUCUCGAAAACAGGAAAUUGAGUUUCACAGAAAUGUUAUAUCAAUGCGACGCACGAGAAGAGCGCGAUCCGAAACAGGAUCGAGUUUAAAGAGGAUACAGAAGAGGCUCGGGAUGCGAGCAUAUAAUUAUUCAAUCGGGACCACGAGUGGCAUUGUCAACCUACGCUUUGUUACACAUCGUCUUUCUAAUGGUUCAAUGGUAUGCGCUCGGUUUAAUUUCGUUUGACGGCUCCACCCGUGACGUCUUAUUAUCGAAUUUAUUAUUCGAGUACCUCCACCUACCCGCAGCAGUUUAAGCAGUGACAUAAGGCGAAAUAAAUCACGUAGAUCGCCUUGACGACCGAGAGUACCCGCGUUCGAAUUUAUUCAUUUCCUUUUCCUUCGAAACACCAGUGACUUAAACGUGUUUCUUUUACCGUGAAAAAUUUGUCAGCUACGAUCGUGCAAGUCUGAUAAUCGCAGGCAAAUUCUCCUAGUCCUUUAUUCACCGUCUAUUCUCAACUAGUCGGAAGAAGCUGGAUUUGAUCGAACGGCCCCUGGUUCGCGACACGUCACGAAUCGCAGCUUCUUGUUUAUCAUCGUUUGAUGUCAAAUUGCUAUAAGUUUCAGAAAAUCAACUUUCGUCGUCAAAGAAAUUCUUGAAAUUGUCGAAAAGUCUCAGGAACGACGCAGCGAAGGCUAAUAUCCAACAUGUGUCCGUGUU